UGCAUGGUUCCUGCUCGAGGGUGACAAAUGUCAUUCCCCGAAAUUUUUCAUAUUUAUUUUCUUGUUUUAUUGCGUGCAUGUCUUGCGGAGUUUUAGGGCUCUGAAUUCUCGUUCUUCUGUGCAUACAUUGUAAUAGACAGGCGGAUGAAAACAUUCUCACAAAAAGCACAAACUGAAACCUAAAUGACGGAAGUGUGUCCUUUGUAGCAAUAUAGGGUAACAUCCAUCGUGUAUAAAGCGCUACCAAUCAGUGUAUCCACCGCUCAGUCUAUUUACCCAUUUGUUUUAAACAGGUGAUCCAGAGUAGGAGAGGGGUCGUUUGCAGACGAACUUUCAAGGGAACAAUCUCUUUCAAUUUUUAUCUUAUUAUUUUCAAUUUGUAUGUUUCAACUUGAAAAUAUGGUUAAAAAUACUGGAGAUCAGACCCUAGGGCUGCUUUUAUUUGUUCAUAAUUCUAAUGGAGUGAAUAGUGCAGAAAGCUUCACAGAGGCAUUAGGUUUGGUUGCAAUGGAAGCACUACAGGAGGUAUCUGCUAUGGAGAUGAUUGUUAGCAUCUAAGCUUUUGAAGCCCAUGUUUACUAUUCUAGCUGAUGAUAAAUCACAUUCUUACCUUCUAUUGAUUGGAGAGACUUGGCAUUAAAGAUACAUUGACAACAGUUACUGGAACUAUCGUACUAUUUCAUCACACUGUUCUCGGGAGUUUGUAGAGGACAUUUAUGCUGCUGCAUGCAUAGCACAAAAGUUUCAGACAUAAGGGUAUGCAUAUGUAGCUCAGUUUGAUGAUGGUCCUUUGAGAGUAGAAUUGAUCACAAAAGAUAUUGUAAGGCCUUCCCUUUUCUUCAUGUCUCGGCCCCUAAAACUGUGUAAUCUGGUACAAGGAAGAGAUGAUGAUUAGUGAAUGUCAAAUGCUUCAUGUCUCGGCCCCUAAAACUGUGUAAUCUGGUACAAGGAAGAGAUGAUGAUUAGUGAAUGUCAAAUGCUUCAUGUCUCGGCCCCUAAAACUGUGUAAUCUGGUACAAGGAAGAGAUGAUGAUUAGUGAAUGUCAAAUGCUUCAGAAUACUUGUACAAAGUGUAAGGAAUGUUUUCAGCCAUUUCAGUAAUCACUAAAUUGCUUUUCAGCAAUUUGCCAAUUGCAAAACCGUUGGACGGUGAAUUAUGCAUGUUUUCAGGCGUGAGACAAGUUUGACACUAAAGAGUAAGUAACAGGAAAAAAACAUCUUCACUCUUUUCUUGAAAUUUUAAUAAUAAAACUUAUGAUUUCUGGUUUUUUUUCCCUGAUUAAGGUUACGUUCUUUUUAGUUUUAUUGAUGCGAUACCGGUGGUACUGAUCCGCAUAGUAUUGUCAAUGAUGCUGGUGAUACCGAUCCUCAAAAUAUCAUCAAUGAUGGCGGUGAAAUCACUGAUGCCGGUGAAGCUGACCCACAAAAUAUCAUCAGUGAUGCCGCUGAAACUGAUCUGCCAUAUAUCGCCAAUGUUGUCGGUGAAACUGCGUUGUUCAAAGCUGUUGAGGAAGGUCAUGGGAAAAUCGUUGCAGAACGUUUGCCUUUAACACUUCCACAGCACUACUGUAGGACAGAUGGCCAAACGCUUGUGCACUGUGCGGUGCAAAGAAGUGCUCAAGAAGCUCAUCGCUGCUAAGCCGGACCUUCUUAAACAAGCUGACUAUUUACGCAGAACACCCCUUCUUAAAGGAAUAUCACAUAUUGCAAAAAUUAUUUUAGAGAAGACUCGUCUUCCUGUUAUACAGUGGAGACAACGAGGGAAGAAAUGGUUUUCACCUGGUGAUUGAAAAUGCAGUACAAAUUUUUGACAAAAUCGGGAGACGCAUAAAAACCUUGAUGUUGUUGGUGAUAUCAAAGAGGCUGAUCAAUGAAGCUGACAACCGAGUCAAGACGCCAUUGGACAUUGCGCUGGACACCAUGGACACAGACUAACGCCUUUUCGAAGAAGUGAUUCAUUUAUUUUGCAUAGUUCCUUCUACUAUGUUAAUUUAAUGCACCUUUCUUUGUUUUUGAAGCAUUCCCCUGCUUUCCUUUUGAGCCCUUUUUUCCAUGACAAAUGCGAUAGUAAAAUCCAAGCAAUUAUUUUUGAAGUUAUAAAUCAAAAUAGUGCGCAAGAGUUCUAUACCCACAUAAGCUUCAGAAUAGUCAAGCUGAAGCUUUUAUUUCUGUUUGUAUUUUUAAAUGUCACUCAUAGCAUUUUUGGGAUUUAUUCCUCCCCUGUAAAAAAGCUGAAAAAGAAGUGGUAGAAAAUUUAAUUUAGGCCAGUGAUCUAAAACUCUCCAAUCAAGGAUCUUAGAACUAAUGACCAAACUAUCUCCCACCCAAAAUAUGAAGACCAGAAAUCUAUACAAACCCUCAGGAGUCAGGAAUAGCUUCAUCACCACAAUGUCUAUAAAUCCCAUUAAACGGUUUGAGGUGAACUAAAUUGAGAAGGUCAAUAUUAUGCCGCAAAAAAGCAGGAAAGUGAUCCAACUGAGACACAGUGGUGGAUAGAAAUAGUUGAAAUAAAAACUGGAAAAAAACAUACUAGACACGGUGAUAGAGCCAGCAAAAUUUUCAGAUAGAACAAGUAAAGAUAUUAUAUGUAAGUGACAAAAUAACAUAUUUAUAUAUGUUACAAAUU